rnacentral:rRNA from 1 species
GGUGAACGCUGGCGGUAGGCCUAACACAUGCAAGUCGAACGGCAGCACAGUAAGGGCUUGCUCUUACGGGUGGCGAGUGGCGGACGGGUGAGGAAUACAUCGGAAUCUACUUUUUCGUGGGGGAUAACGUAGGGAAACUUACGCUAAUACCGCAUACGACCUACGGGUGAAAGCAGGGGAUCUUCGGACCUUGCGCGAUUGAAUGAGCCGAUGUCGGAUUAGCUAGUUGGCGGGGUAAAGGCCCACCAAGGCGACGAUCCGUAGCUGGUCUGAGAGGAUGAUCAGCCACACUGGAACUGAGACACGGUCCAGACUCCUACGGGAGGCAGCAGUGGGGAAUAUUGGACAAUGGGCGCAAGCCUGAUCCAGCCAUACCGCGUGGGUGAAGAAGGCCUUCGGGUUGUAAAGCCCUUUUGUUGGGAAAGAAAAGCAGCAGGUUAAUACCCCGCUGUUCUGACGGUACCCAAAGAAUAAGCACCGGCUAACUUCGUG